rnacentral:rRNA from 1 species
UUGCCUCAGUAACGGCGAGUGAAGCGGCAACAGCUCAAAUUUUAAAGCUGGCGUCCUCGACGCCCGCGUUGUAAUUUGGAGAGGCAUCUUCGGUUUGGGCGCCAGCCUAUGUUCCUUGGAACAGGACGUCACAGAGGGUGAGAAUCCCGUGCUUGGCUGGCUGUCCCUCUCCAUGUGAAGUGUCUUCGACGAGUCGAGUUGUUUGGGAAUGCAGCUCAAAAUGGGUGGUAAAUUUCAUCUAAAGCUAAAUAUUGGCGGGAGACCGAUAGCGCACAAGUAGAGUGAUCGAAAGAUGAAAAGCACUUUGAAAAUAGAGUUAAAAAGUACGUGAAAUUGUUGAAAGGGAAGCGCUUGAGACCAGACUCGGCCGGAGACGAUCAGCGGUCCUUUUGGGCCGUGCACUCGUCCUCGGUUGGGCCAGCAUCGGUUGAGACGGUGGGAUAAAGGUCCGGGGAAUGUGGCUCCUUUCGGGGAGUGUUAUAGCCCCGGGCGCAAUGCCGCCAGCCUCGACCGAGGACCGCGCUCUUUUGCUAGGAUGCUGGCGUAAUGGUCUUCAGCGACCCGUCUUGAAACACGGACCAAGGAGUCUAACAUCUAUGCGAGUGUUUGGGUGUCAAACCCUUGCGCGUAAUGAAAGUGAACGUGGGUGGGAACCUCUCGUAAGGGGGGCGCACCAUCGACCGAUCCUGAUGUCUUCGGAUGGAUUUGAGUAGGAGCAUAGCUGUUGGGACCCGAAAGAUGGUGAACUAUGCCUGAAUAGGGUGAAGCCAGAGGAAACUCUGGUGGAGGCUCGCAGCGGUUCUGACGUGCAAAUCGAUCGUCAAAUUUGGGUAUAGGGGCGAAAGACUAAUCGAACCAUCUAGUAGCUGGUUCCUG